AAUGAGGUGCCUGAUUAAAGGAUUAUUGUGAUAGAAUAAGUAAUGCAAAAAAAUUGCCCUCAUUA
rnacentral:tRNA from 1 species